rnacentral:rRNA from 1 species
GACGAACGCUGGCGGCGUGCUUAACACAUGCAAGUCGAACGAAGUGGCGAACGAGUGAGUAACGCGUAAUCAACCUGCCCUUCAGAGGGGUCCAACAGUUGGACACGACUGCUAAUACCGCAUACUGAAGGCGGUGCUUGCGUCGGAUUAGCUAGUUGGAGGGGUAAAGGCCCACCAAGGCGAUGAUCAGUAGCCGGGCUGAGAGGGUGAACGGCCACAUUUGGACUGAGACACGGCCCAGACUCCCACGGGAGGCAGCAGGUGGGAAUCUUACGCAAUGGACGAAAGUCUGACGGAGCAACGCCGCGUGAGUGAUGACGGCCUUCGGGGUGUAAAGCUCUGUUAAUCGGGACGCGGUACCGGAAGAGAAAGCCACGGCUAACUACGUGCCAGCCGCCGCGGUAAUUC